UACGGGGGGGGCAAGCGUUGUUCGGAAUUACUGGGCGUAAAGGGCUUGUAGGCGGCCAACUAAGUCCGACGUGAAAUCCCCAGCUUAACCUGGGAACUGCGUCGGAUACUGGAUGGCUUGAAUUCGGGAGAGGGAUGCAGAAUUCCAGGUGUAGCGGUGAAAUGCGUAGAUAUCAGGAAGAACACCCGUGGCGAAGGCGGCUCUCUGGGACGGUACUGACGCUGAGACGCGAAAGCGUGGGGAGCGAACAGG
rnacentral:rRNA from 1 species